ACGGCUCUGAAUACAACACGGAAACAACAAUUUAAUAACCACAAGCAGGACGGGAGCCUUCAAAGAACAGCUGCAAGGGGGCCGAGUCCAGGAAGAAAGCAAUCUGCAGGUAGCCGGUGGACAAGUACUGUUCCAUGUCUUGCUGAAAAGCCUCCUCGAAGAACUUCUGCCUCUCUUUCAGCUUGACCUGUGGAGGUGGGACCACUCCCUGCUCUGCCCCAGGGACUCUCUGUGGGUGCUCUGCAUCCAGCUCCACUACAACACACAACACAUGGGAGGAAGACACACGUGCUCGCUGACCUCUGCUGCGCACACUUCAGUGAACCGAGCCUCAUCUGCUGCUGCUCUGAAACCUCAAUGAUGCUGCGACUUCAACAGGCACAACUGGCUUUAACAUGGCAUUUACUGGAUUCUGAUUGGCCCAGGCAAAGGCAGGGGGGGCGGAAAGAAGGGUGAAAGAAAACAUGACCCUGCGGACAGAGACGAGCGACCCUUGCAACAUAAAGACCCCCGGUGAAAGAGACAGAC